UGAGAAAGUUGAGUAUAAGAAACUUUCUGAUGAUGACAAAAUAAUUUUUAGAAGAUUCCAGGGUAAGACCCUCAAAAGUCUUACCGAUGAGAUGAUGGAAAUCGGCGUUGGCAACGAAGAGGAACGCCUGAUGUUCAAGAGGAUAUUCAUCCUCUAUAUACAGAUGGCAUUCCUUUUGCCAACGACGAUAAACAAAAUAUCGCCUGUGCACUUGGCCCCAAUUUUUAAGAUGGACAGCAUAUCGGAGAGAAACUGGGGGGGCAUGUUUUGACCUUCAUGGUCAAGGGCAUCACAGACUACAAGGAGAAAAAGAAGAAGGCAAUUGAUGGCUGCCUCUUCGCCCUGAUGAUAAUUUACUUUCAUCUUUCAAAAAACAAAGGCAAGAAGAGGGCUGAAAGACCACCAAAGCCCUGGAUUGCAAACUGGACUAAGGAGCAGUUGGUGGAAAGAAUGACUGCAGAAAGAGAGGAAAUUUUGGGGAUUGUGAAGAUGGUGGAGACAAGAGCAAGAUAAAAAAUGAAAAAAAAAGAAAAAAAAGAAAAAAAACAAGAAAUAAAAAAAA